AUGGUGCCUCCAUCCAUGGGGCCUUCCUGCCACCUUCCUUGCUCCACCGCCGCCGGCGUCCUGCUGUGGUGCAUCUCCGUCUGCUUGACCCUCCACGCCGUCCGCGCCCAGUCCGCCACCUUCACCAGCACCGUCGGCGGCAAGGAGUUCACCACCUUCUCCUUCCCCACGUUCGACCGGUCCCUCAUGCAGCUCCCCACCAACCUGACCUUUGCCGGCAACUCCAGCGUCACCCAGAACACGCUCCAGAUCACCCCGGACAGCAAUAGCGCCAGCGGGCCCGACAACUUCCUCGUCAACCAGACUGGUAGCGUCUUCCUCUCCUCGCCGUUCGUCCUCUGGGCCUCUGAACCCGCCGGCGGCAGGUACGUCGCCUCCUUCUCCACCGUGUUCCGGAUCAACCUCUACCGCGCCAACGCGACCAACAAGGGCGAAGGCCUCGCGUUCGUCGUCGCGUCCAGCAACGGCGGCGGGAGUCCGCCCCCUGGCAGCCACGGCGGGUACCUGGGCCUCACCAACGCGUCCACCGACGGCAACGCCGCCAACGGGUUCGCGGCCGUGGAGCUGGACACGGUGAAGCAGCCCUACGACCUCGACGACAACCACGUCGGCCUCGACGUGAACGGCGUCCGCUCAACCCACGCCGCCGCGCUCACGCCCUUCGGCAUCCAGCUCGCCCCCAUCGACACCACGGUCAACGACGGCUUCUACAUGGUCUGGGUCGACUACAACGGCGCGACGCGGCGCGUGCGGGCAUACAUGGCCAAGAACGGGAGCAGGCCCGGCGUCGCUGUACUCGAUGCGCCGCUGGACCUCUCGACGGUGCUCCUUGGCAAGCGAGCCUACUUCGGCUUCUCGGCGUCCACGGGCGUCAAGUACCAGUUCAACUGCGUGCGCAUGUGGAACAUGACGGUGGAGAGGCUCCCCGACUCAAGCACGGCCAGCAGGUCCAUGUCGGGGUGGAAGCUCGGGGCGGCCGUGGGCGUGCCGUGCGCCGUCGCGCUCGCCAUCGGGCUGCUCGCCGGCCUGUACAUCAGGAGGAAGGGCAAGAUGGUUGCCGGCGUCACCGCCGUUGACCUGAGCGCCAUCCCGGGGAUGCCGAGGGAGUUCGACUUCAGGGAGCUCAAGAGAGGGACCAACAACUUCGACAAGAAGAUGAAGCUGGGGCAGGGAGGGUACGGCGUGGUGUACCGCGCCACCGUGGCCGGGGAAGGCGGGCGGAGCAUGGAGGUGGCCGUGAAGCAGUUCUCCGGGGCCAACACCAAGGGGCAGGAGGACUUCCUCGCCGAACUGAGCAUCAUCAACCGUCUCCGCCACCGUAAUCUUGUCAAGCUCAUCGGUUGGUGCCACCAGAACGGCGUGUUGCUACUGGUGUACGACCUAAUGCCCAACGGCAGCCUGGACCGGCACCUCUUCGGCCGCGCCGGCGACGCUCCGUCUCCGACUCUCAGCUGGGAGCAGCGGUACAAGGUGGCCGCUGGCGUCGCGUCGGCGCUCAACUACCUCCACCACGACUACGACCACGUGGUGAUCCACCGGGACAUGAAGCCGUCCAACAUCAUGCUGGACGCCGCCUUCAACGCCCGCCUCGGCGACUUCGGCCUCGCCCGCGCGCUCGACGCCGACAAGACCUCCUACACCGACCGGGCCGGCCUGCCGGGCACGCUGGGCUACAUCGCGCCCGAGUGCUUCCACACCGGCCGGGCCACCAGGGAGUCGGACGUCUUCGGCUUCGGCGCCGUCGUGCUGGAGAUCGUCUGCGGCCGCCGGAACUCCUGCUGCCACCCUGCCGGGUGCAGCCAGCUGCUGGAGGAGGCGUGGGAGCUCCAUGGCGCGGGGAGCGUCCUCGAGGCCGUCGACCCGAGGCUCGCCGGCGCGUUCGACGAGGCCGAGGCGGAGCGGCUCCUGCUGCUGGGCCUCGCGUGCAGCCACCCGAACCCUGGCGAGCGGCCCAAGGCGCAGGCCAUCCUGCAGAUCCUGACGCACUCCGCUCCGCCGCCGGACGUGCCGCCGUCGAGGCCCGCGUUCAUGUGGCCGGUCGUGCUCGUGAAGGGCGACGAGGAGAUGUAUACUUCUGGCAGCUCGGCCACCUGCAGCACGGUGAUGACGUCGUCGCUGUUGAGAUAG
rnacentral:rRNA from 1 species